GGCUCGGUGGCGAAUGGUCCGCGUCUGCUGCACGUACAUGUUCAAGCAGAGGGUGCUCGUUCGAAUCGGGCCCGAGCCA